AGAGUUUGAUCCUGGCUCAGGAUGAACGCUGGCGGCGUGCUUAACACAUGCAAGUCGAACGGGAAUUACUUUAUUGAAACUUCGGUCGAUUUAAUUUAAUUCUAGUGGCGGACGGGUGAGUAACGCGUGGGUAACCUGCCUUAUACAGGGGGAUAACAGUCAGAAAUGGCUGCUAAUACCGCAUAAGCGCACAGAGCUGCAUGGCUCAGUGUGAAAAACUCCGGUGGUAUAAGAUGGACCCGCGUUGGAUUAGCUGGUUGGUGGGGUAACGGCCCACCAAGGCGACGAUCCAUAGCCGGUCUGAGAGGGUGAACGGCCACAUUGGGACUGAGACACGGCCCAGACUCCUACGGGAGGCAGCAGUGGGGAAUAUUGCACAAUGGAGGAAACUCUGAUGCAGCGACGCCGCGUGAGUGAAGAAGUAUUUCGGUAUGUAAAGCUCUAUCAGCAGGGAAGAAAAUGACGGUACCUGACUAAGAAGCACCGGCUAAAUACGUGCCAGCAGCCGCGGUAAUACGUAUGGUGCAAGCGUUAUCCGGAUUUACUGGGUGUAAAGGGAGCGUAGGUGGCAAGGCAAGCCAGAAGUGAAAACCCGGGGCUCAACCGCGGGAUUGCUUUUGGAACUGUCAUGCUAGAGUGCAGGAGGGGUGAGCGGAAUUCCUAGUGUAGCGGUGAAAUGCGUAGAUAUUAGGAGGAACACCGGAGGCGAAGGCGGCUCACUGGACUGUAACUGACACUGAGGCUCGAAAGCGUGGGGAGCAAACAGGAUUAGAUACCCUGGUAGUCCACGCGGUAAACGAU
rnacentral:rRNA from 1 species